AUGCAUAUUAUAGAGCAGUUCCAUGAUUACAAGAUGGUUGAAAACCGUCCUGUAUUGAAGCAGGCUCAUGAGAUAAUAUGCAUUGUUAAGGAGCUUGAAUUUCUUAAGUGCGAGUUACCGGGCAAGUUUAUCGCGGGCUGCAUAAUCGCUAAGCUCCCUAAUUCCUGGAGGAACUUUGCCACCACUCUGAAACAUCAAAGGCGUGAAUUCUCUAUGGAGGAUGUCAUUGGCCAUCUGAGUGUUGAGCAGAAUUCAAGGGCAAAGGACUCGCACGGAAAAGGGGCCGAAGGGACUUCUGUCGCCAACAUGGUGAACCAGAAGAACUUCAACUCCCACAAGUCCAAGGGAAAGAAUGGUGUCCAACACAAUACCGACUUUAAGAAGAAGGGUAAGAAGACUUUCAAGAAGAACAAGAAGGAUGAGGGCUGCUUUACUUGUGUUUUCAUUGAACAUUGGGCCAACAAGUGCCCAAACAAGUACAAGAAGUCAUGA
rnacentral:rRNA from 1 species